AACGAACGCUGGCGGCAGGCCUAACACAUGCAAGUCGAACGGACGUAGCAAUACGUUAGUGGCGCACGGGAGAGUAACGCGUGGGAACCUACCUUUUGGUUCGGGAUAACAUCGGGAGACUGGUGCUAAUACCGGAUAAGCCCUUCGGGGGAAAGAUUUAUUGCCGAAAGAUGGGCCCGCGUUGGAUUAGCUAGUUGGUGAGGUAAUGGCUCACCAAGGCAACGAUCCAUAGCUGGUCUGAGAGGAUGAUCAACCUCACUGGGACUGAGACACGGCCCAGACUCCUACGGGAGGCAGCAGUGGGGAAUAUUGGACAAUGGGGGAAACCCUGAUCCAGCCAUGCCGCGUGAAUGAUGAAGGCCUUCGGGUUGUAAAGUUCUUUUGGUGGGGACGAUGAUGACGGUACCCACAGAAUAAGCUCCGGCUAACUUCGUGCCAGCAGCCGCCGCAG
rnacentral:rRNA from 1 species